rfam:Trichobilharzia regenti genome assembly, scaffold: TRE_scaffold0017959
GUACUGAUGAAGAGUCCCAAACUAGGACGGAAGAAACAGCUGUCCAGUAC